CUGCAGUGGAAAAGUUCAAUACUCAUGGCUGGGCUUUGAUGGGUAAUUUCAGAACAAGCACAGGUGUCAGUUGCCAUGACAACUACUGAAAGACUUCCAAGUCCAAUUUGAAUGACUUUCUUCCUAUUCUGUUUAUGGAUAAUGGUCUAACACGUGAGUCCAUGAGUGCUACUUCGGAGCACCAGAUGCUAUUGUCUGCCAUACAUCAACCAGCUGUCUACAUCAUUUUGACAAUAUGACACUCUGGAGUGGAGGACUAAUGAGUAACCACAGCAACAGUCCUCAGCCAAUCAGGGCAAGCCAGCUCUGCCCCCAACCUAGUCUCAUGAGACAGAUAGGAGAACCAAGUUAGAGCAGUCUGGCCUUGGUCAGCAUUGAGGGAAUAUCUCCCUCAGUGUCUCCUUCUCUCAUAUCUCAAAUGCCAGCAGGCCUCAAGCCCAGCCAACCUGUCACUUGUCAAGAACCUACUAAAGUGCUUCCUCACGGAUCCCACUACUAGAAGGAGAACACCAUUUUAGGGCAAGAAUCUUAUAGCACUUUGAUGAGGGUGUGGCCAAUCCUCAAGGCUACAUCCAUCCAUGUGAUGGACUCACGUCUGGGACCUUUCUGGUUUCCACGGACUGCUCUCAUGAAGAUCCUGGUGGUAUGCAAGACUAAAUGACACCCAUGAGUGAAGUAACCAGUUUUGUUCUGUGUGAUCGAGUUAAUCCAUCUGCUGUCUAGUAACUGGUGUAAAAGGGCCAAGCCAGGUCUCACAGAUGUACCGCAUGUAGGAAGCCUCUAGCCUAUUGCUACGCAAAAAGAGGAAGCUAGCAUCUAAAGUCAAGUCUCUAAGUCAGCAAACAGUCAGUCAGUCCAAGUCAGAACCUGUACAGUUUGUUCUCAAAGUCAGUGCAAAGUCAAGAUCUGAAGUACUGCAAGUGCCAGCAUUUCCAGUCAACUGCAACUGUGGCUUCUCACUAUGUUCCAGUGCACCAGUGUAACCUUGCCUCCUGAACCUAACUGUUAUCUCUGUAGUGUGAUCCUGCAAUUUUCUCAGUAAACUUAA